UACGUAGGGGGCAAGCGUUGUCCGGAAUUAUUGGGCGUAAAGCGCGCGCAGGCGGUUCUUUAAGUCUGGUGUUUAAACCUGGGGCUCAACUUCAGGUCGCACUGGAAACUGGGGGACUUGAGUACAGAAGAGGAGAGUGGAAUUCCACGUGUAGCGGUGAAAUGCGUAGAGAUCCGGAAGAACACCGGUGGCGAAGGCGGUUGGCUGGGCAGGUGCUGACACUGAGGCGCGACAGCGUGGGGAGCAAACAGG
rnacentral:rRNA from 1 species